rnacentral:rRNA from 1 species
GUGUCAGCAGCCGCGGUAAUACGUAGGGGGCAAGCGUUGUCCGGAAUUAUUGGGCGUAAAGCGCGUGUAGGCGGUUCGAUAAGUCUGCUGUAAAAGUCAAGGGCUCAACCCUUGAAAGCCGGUGGAUACUGUCGAACUAGAGUACGGAAGAGGCGAGUGGAAUUCCUGGUGUAGCGGUGAAAUGCGCAGAUAUCAGGAGGAACACCUAUUGCGAAGGCAGCUCGCUGGGACGUUACUGACGCUGAGACGCGAAAGCGUGGGGAGCAAACAGGAUUAGAAACCCUGGUAGUCC